GGAGUGGAUUUUCUAAUCUGGCUGCUGCUCCUUGUAUAAAUAUGGGUUACAGUCACAUCACAGAAAUGGGAUUUUGAAGGAAGUGCUGAGGGGGAUUUUUUCAAAGAGCAAAACCUUUUCAGAGCAAACGCUUAUCAACUGAUUGUGGAAAUGGAGGACAUGAGUAACCUAACAGACGGAGACACCUCCUUCUUGGUGGAUGAGAUCCUUCAUAGCAUCUUCUUUAUGGGAAAGAUCACAUAUCUAUCAUUUUCACCUGAAGACAUCUUUCAUGGUGAUGAGAAGUUUUUGGAUUACAUGAGGGAGAUGUACCCCCGGCCCUUUGACCUCUACUCAUCCCAGAUACCCAAUCGGAGUCCGUUCUCAUGUGUGCUGGACAUGGUUGUACGCCUGUCUGGACCACAGGAAAAAGCGAGCUCACAAAACAACUUGCAGGAGAUACAAAACAAAUUGCGGGAGCUCAUCAGUAAGUUAAAACAACGUGAUAAUUCAAAGAUGUUGUUCUCCACCACCCUGUGCGUUUCCAGUGUCUCGGGUUCAAGUAAGUAUUACGGAGUCUCCAUGUCCACUCAUCGCAAGCCUGCCAGGCAAAUCAUGGUGGCUGCAGGGUGUCUGAGCUACUGGGACGACUGUGUAGCUGCGGCAGUGAUGAGCUACUGUCCUCAGAAAAGGAGGAAGAGUUACUUUGACGGAACCUUCCAGCUUCCUGCAGACGUCAGGUGUGAGGCCUUCAGCAUCGAGGGUCAGCGAAUGAUGGUUCCCUGCCGCUCGUGUAACAAUUUGUUUAACUUGGAGACAACAGAAACAAAAACAAAUCCUUAUGGAAACUGUGCUGAAACUGAAAGUUUGAGCAACUUAUUAAAGAAGGAAGAAAGAGUUAAACAGCAAGUUCAACGAUGUGUAAGUGAGAGAGUGAACGACCGGGAGAGGGCUGAGCGUGACGUCUUAAAGCAGCUCAAGCAGAUUCUGAAACCCUACAGCGGCUUCACAUGGGACAACAGUUACUACCGUCCUCUUGAUGUGUGA
rnacentral:lncRNA from 1 species